GGAGGAGUCGCAUAGUGGUCCAGUGCACAGGUUUGCUAAACCUGCGAGCUUUACGGCUCACGUGGGUUCGAAUCCCACCUCCUCCGCCA
rnacentral:tRNA from 1 species